GAGGCUAACAGAGCCAAUUGGAGCACAGUAUUCAAAACCAUGGGCGUUUGGGUACAAUGAACUUAAAACAAAUUGCAGCUGAGAAGAACAUUCCACACUAAAUAUAAAUACAGAGAAGAACAUCGCCAGCUGAGCUCUGUACUUGGAAGGAAGCAUUCUUCAUUUUCCGAUUCUGCUCCUCCUUCCCAUGGCUUCCUCCACCGUCAACCGAUGGCUGAGGCCCGAGGUGUAUCCACUAUUUGCAGCCGUAGGAGUAGCUGUUGGAAUUUGUGGGUUUCAAUUGAUUCGCAACGUCUGUAUCAAUCCUGAAGUCAGGGUGAACAAAGAAAACAGGGCAGCAGGAGUGUUGGAGAACUUUUCAGAAGGGGAGAAAUAUGCAGAGCAUGGUCUUAGGAAGUUCGUUCGUAACAGGUCUCCAGAGAUCAUGCCAUCUAUCAAUGGCUUCUUCAGCGACCCGAAAUGAUGGCCAAGUUUAAACCUAAAGUUUAUUGCUUGUUUAUGAUUAACUAAUUUCAAUUGUAUCAACUAAUUCCAAUCGUGUCACUUUACUCCUUUAUUUUUCUUUAAUUUAUGUACCUUUCUACUUAAUAUGAUAUCCGCAACCUUGUGUAACAUUUGUGAUUCAUUGAGCAGGCAACACUGUGAAAAA
rnacentral:misc_RNA from 1 species